UAGGUCAAGUUAGAAAGGGCGUAUGGUGGAUGCCCAGGCACUUAGAGCCGAAGAAGGACGCAGCAAGCGGCGAAACGCUCCGGGGAGUCGCAAGCAGACGCAGAUCCGGAGAUCUCCGAAUGGGGAAACCCGCUUAAGGUAAUACUUAAGCAUCCCAUGGUGAACACAUAGCCAUGAGGAAGGGACACCGCGUGAACUGAAACAUCUAAGUAGCGCGAGGAAAAGAAAGAAAAAAUCGAUUUCCUGAGUAGUGGCGAGCGAAAAGGAAAGAGCCCAAACCAUCACCAAUGGUGAUGGGGUUUAGGACCACAAGAAGGUAUGAAAAGCGAAGCCGAACAGACCUGGGAAGGCAGGCCAAAGAAGGUGAAAGCCCUGUAGGCGUAGGCUUAAAA
rnacentral:rRNA from 1 species